UACGAAGGGUGCAAGCGUUACUCGGAAUUACUGGGCGUAAAGCGUGCGUAGGUGGUUCGUUAAGUCUGUCGUGAAAGCCCCGGGCUCAACCUGGGAAUGGCGAUGGAUACUGGCGGGCUAGAGUGCGGUAGAGGAGAGUGGAAUUCCCGGUGUAGCAGUGAAAUGCGUAGAGAUCUGGAGGAAUACCGGUGGCGAAGGCGGCCCCCUGGACAAAGACUGACGCUCAGGUGCGAAAGCGUGGGGAGCAAACAGG
rnacentral:rRNA from 1 species